AUAUAUAUGUGGUCCCUCUUCUCUACUUUUUAUUAUCUAAACGUUGUGGCAUAUACUAACUUCUUCCUGUUUGGUCUAGCGAGCGGCCGGUUUUGUUGUAUAUCCUAGGGCUUAUCUUUUUAUUAUCAGCUUUUACUUGAUUUAUUUAUUGUUGCAUAUGUUAAUUUCUUGAAGUAUUUAAUUUUUUUCUCACGAUCUUCGUUCUUGCUAUGGAGGUUUGGUCUGGGAAUGGUAGGUGAUAGGAGUUGAACAAAGUUGAUGGGUAGUUUUGGGUUAGUUUUUAGACAGGAUUAGGGUUGUGGUUGUUAUAAGAGCGUGCAUUGACUUUUUUGUCCUUUUUAUGUUUGGGUGAUGUAAGAAGAUUAGGGUUUUGAGAGUGGAGUUCUCUGAAGUUCAACAGAGUAUCUAACUGGUUUGUGGCUUGCAUAUGUCAGGAGCUUCAUUAUUCUAAGUUGGAUCCCUUUUUGGAUUGAAGGGAGCUCUACAUUCAUCUCUCUUCAUCUUAUUUUCCCUAUAAUAUUAUCCUUUUAAUUAGUCUGUCUGCUGUAGUUUCUUAGAUAUUUGUUAUACAGUCUGCUUUCUCUGUUUAAUCCAGUGCUACCUAUGUUUUUAAGAUCUUUAACAUCUGAUUAUAUCCAGUAUUUCUUCCUAUAUUUUAGUCGAUCUCCUCUAGAUCUUGUUUUGCUAUUUCUGGGUUCUGAAGUAUAUAUGUAAAGAUUAUUUGUUAUGCGACAUGCAUUUUUUUUUAUAUUUGUACUAUUUUAUAGCUAGCUACUCUUUUAACUUUAUCAUCAUUUGAUUUCAGAAAAAAAUUUGUAGAUCAGAGAGUACCAGAGGAGCAGCUUUCUGUUGUCCAGAUUUGAGACGCUGAACAAAUAUUUCGGGCAUUACAUUCCUUCAACGUUGCAACUUGAGCAAUAAGAGUGUUUAUUUGCUACAACACCAUAGUGUAAUUUUAUUUUUUUUGUAUUGCUGAAAUUUUUUAACUUCGGAACUUACAAUCUUACACUGCAAUACCAAAUAACUUUUACACUAUGUAUUUUGGUGUUGUAUAUAUAAAAUAAACUCACAAUUUUAGAUGGUUGUUAAGCUUUGAUUUA